rnacentral:misc_RNA from 1 species
UGGUUCUGGCAUCGAUGAAGAACGCAGCGAAAUGCGAUAAGUAAUGUGAAUUGCAGAAUUCAGUGAAUCAUCGAAUCUUUGAACGCACAUUGCGCCCUCUGGUAUUCCGGGGGGCAUGCCUGUUCGAGCGUCAUUACAACCCUCAAGCUCUGCUUGGUAUUAGGCUCCACCUGCUACAGGCGGGCCUUAAAAUCAGUGGCGGUGCCAUCUGGCUUCAAGCGUAGUAAUAUUUCUCGUUUGGGAGUACCGGUUGCGUACCUGCUAAAAAACCCCAAUUUUUAAAGGUUGACCUCGGAUCAGGUAGGGAUACCCGCUGA